UACAGAGGUCCCAAGCGUUGUUCGGAUUCACUGGGCGUAAAGGGUGCGCAGGUGGGUUUGCAAGUUCGAUGUGAAAGCCCCGGGCUUAACCCGGGAAUGGCAUUGGAUACUGCAGAUCUGGAGGAUCGGAGGGGGGACUGGAAUUCUUGGUGUAGCAGUGAAAUGCGUAGAUAUCAGGAGGAACACCGGUGGCGAAGGCGGGUCUCUGGGCAGUGAACUGACGCUGAGGAGCGAAAGCGUGGGGAGCGAACAGG
rnacentral:rRNA from 1 species